rnacentral:rRNA from 1 species
AACGAACGCUGGCGGCAUGCCUAACACAUGCAAGUCGAACGACACCUCCGGGUCUAGUGGCGCACGGGUGCGUAACGCGGGGGAACCUGCCCUUAGGUUCGGAAUACCUCCCCGAAAGGGGUGCUAAUACCGGAUAAUGUCUGCGGAUCAAAGAUUCAUCGCCUUUGUAUGGGCCCGCGUUGGUUUAGCUAGUUGGUAGGGUAAAAGCCUACCAAGGCGACGAUCGAUAGCUGGGCUGAGAGGAUGAUCAGCGACACUGGGACUGAGACACGGCCCAGACUCCUACGGGAUGCAGCAGUGGCGAAUAUUGGACAAUGGGCGAGAGCCUGAACCAGCUCUGCCGCGUGAGUGAUGAAGGCCUGAGGGUUGUAAAGCUCUUUUACCCGCGAUGAUAAUGACGGUACCGGGAGAAUAAGCUCCGGCUAACUCCGUG